rnacentral:rRNA from 1 species
AGUGAACGCUGGCGGUAGGCCUAACACAUGCAAGUCGAACGGCAGCACAGUAAGAGCUUGCUCUUACGGGUGGCGAGUGGCGGACGGGUGAGGAAUACAUCGGAAUCUACUUUUUCGUGGGGGAUAACGUAGGGAAACUUACGCUAAUACCGCAUACGACCUACGGGUGAAAGCAGGGGAUCUUCGGACCUUGCGCGAUUGAAUGAGCCGAUGUCGGAUUAGCUAGUUGGCGGGGUAAAGGCCCACCAAGGCGACGAUCCGUAGCUGGUCUGAGAGGAUGAUCAGCCACACUGGAACUGAGACACGGUCCAGACUCCUACGGGAGGCAGCAGUGGGGAAUAUUGGACAAUGGGCGCAAGCCGAUCCAGCCAUACCGCGUGGGUGAAGAAGGCCUUCGGGUUGUAAAGCCCUUUUGUUGGGAAAGAAAAGCAGCAGGUUAAUACCCCGCUGUUCUGACGGUACCCAAAGAAUAAGCACCGGCUAACUUCGUG